GCUUCCGUUGAAUGACGUGCUUGCACUGAUUUCAACAAUGAAGCGAGUGGCGAACUGGUGAGUAACACGUGGGAAAUCUGCCCAGAAGCAGGGGAUAACACUUGGAAACAGGUGCUAAUACCGUAUAACAACAAAAUCCGCAUGGAUUUUGUUUGAAAGGUGGCUUCGGCUAUCACUUCUGGAUGAUCCCGCGGCGUAUUAGUUAGUUGGUGAGGUAAAGGCCCACCAAGACGAUGAUACGUAGCCGACCUGAGAGGGUAAUCGGCCACAUUGGGACUGAGACACGGCCCAAACUCCUACGGGAGGCAGCAGUAGGGAAUCUUCCACAAUGGACGAAAGUCUGAUGGAGCAAUGCCGCGUGAGUGAAGAAGGGUUUCGGCUCGUAAAACUCUGUUGUUAAAGAAGAACACCUUUGAGAGUAACUGUUCAAGGGUUGACGGUAUUUAACCAGAAAGCCACGGCUAACUACGUGCCAGCAGCCGCGGUAAUACGUAGGUGGCAAGCGUUGUCCGGAUUUAUUGGGCGUAAAGCGAGCGCAGGCGGUUUUUUAAGUCUGAUGUGAAAGCCUUCGGCUUAACCGGAGAAGUGCAUCGGAAACUGGGAGACUUGAGUGCAGAAGAGGACAGUGGAACUCCAUGUGUAGCGGUGGAAUGCGUAGAUAUAUGGAAGAACACCAGUGGCGAAGGCGGCUGUCUAGUCUGUAACUGACGCUGAGGCUCGAAAGCAUGGGUAGCGAACAGGAUUAGAUACCCUGGUAGUCCAUGCCGUAAACGAUGAGUGCUAAGUGUUGCAGGGUUUCCGCCCUUCAGUGCUGCAGCUAACGCAUUAAGCACUCCGCCUGGGGAGUACGACCGCAAGGUUGAAACUCAAAGGAAUUGACGGGGGCCCG
rnacentral:rRNA from 1 species